AUGAGAUGACCCAGUCAAAACCUCCCUAAACUCUAAUUAGCUCAUCACUUUGCUGAGUGGUUUCAUCCCUUCUUGUGCUAUUAUCAACAAGUUUUUAUGAAGCAGAGAUCAGAACUACCAUGUCACUCACACUGUAUUGCUGCAUGACCCUGAUCUAAACUUGAAUCCUUCAUAGUCUCAUUGACUUCUCUGUAUAUUUGUAGGUCAUAAUCAGAUUACUCUAAUAUGUUGUACUGAAUACCUUCUUCCAGACUGCAAUCCCAAGUAACUAUUCUGCCAAGUCACUUCAAACAGCCACACAGAGUGUUUGUUCUCAAGCAUUUAUAAUUUACACUUUCUGGCUGUUAGAAUUUUGUGUUGGAAAACUCCCUCCAAACCUAUCUCUACUGUCUACAUCAAUUCAUUUCACCACCUUUAGGAGCAAGGGAUCUUUGGAGGUCCAAAAAUUUUUAGAGCAGUUAUUUUUUUUGCUUUAUGUUUUAUUUACAGAUAAUCCAUCUUAGUCAAUGCUGUUUACUAUCAGAUUUUCUUUUUUAAACGCUUAUUUUCAGCAUCUCUACUGGGGUCACCGGUAAGGACAACACUGCCCCUGUCCACACUGUCAAGUAACUGUUUGCUAAGAACAACCCAUUACUGACCUUUUAAAGUAGUAUACUCUUUGAAACAUGGCUGGGAAUGCAUUUUUGAUGCUUAAUUCUGAAAUGCCCCCAAAAGAUACUCUAGAAGUAGGUCUGUUAGUACUCAGCUGCAGAGACUGACAAGGAGAAAACAGUUCAUUAUCACACAGCAGUAGCAACUCUGUUAAAUUAUGACCCUUACCUGUGUAUUUCUCAACAGGAUGUGUGGUGUCAGAAUUUGUGUGAUGGUCAAACAACAGCCUUCAAAGGAGUAGCCUAGCAGUACUGUGAGGCAGGUUUGUUAACAGCGUCAGGAGCUGAGCGUGCUGUGAUGCCUGGGGUACUGCUCAAGGCUAGAGGUGGCAGGGAAGAGGAAAUGUGAAACUCGCAAAUAUCUUUCUGUCCUAUUUGGCUGAUAAAGGUACCUGUCUACUUUCUAUCAUUUGCUGCCUUUCAGAAGACUUGCAUGUUACUGUUUCUCAGCCAGCAGCCCAGUCAGCAGGUAUUUCAGAAUAACAGAAAUUAUUUCAGCUAACUGGAGAAAUACAUACUUCUAUGCACCAGGUAACUUCAAAGACAAUUCUGUCAAUAGGGACAGCGUAUUUCCAGCGAGUCUGAGACAUUUAAAAGUAGUAGGGCUGCAGAGUUCAUUCCAACUGGAAGCUCAGGAAGCACAACAUAAGUAGCACGUUGCCAGCCCGUCAGCUGAAGCAUGGUGAUGUGCCUGUGCUUGUGGAAUGGCUGAUAUUUUCAUAGCAGAAAUGACUGACAGAGCAACGCUGUCCACAGCUCCAGGCUGCACUGCUACAGGAUGAGUUUCGAUGGCUUGAACUACUGCUGAAAUCCCUUUCUCUGUUCUAUCAAGAAAGACACUGAUCUGAAUUUAGCUAACAGUUUUUAGGCCACACUUAUACUGCACUCAGAGAGGAUCGAUUGAUUUAUUUAUAGCAGUAGUUCAAAAUUUUUGGAGUUGGAAAUUUCCUUGUCUUUCUCAUAACAAAUCAACAUCAAUACAAAUGCUAAGAGAACAUCAUCAAAAGAAAAGAAAAAAAGAAAAAAGAAAAAACUUGAAGCUAGACUCUUAGAUAGAUUUUACUUUCCAAUUGUAUGUUAUAAAUGUCCAAAACAGGUUGGAGAGAACUCCUCUACGCCUAGGUAAGUAAUAGGUGAAUUACACAGUAGUAGAUAUAUUUAAGGUUUGAAGACUAUCUGCUCUGGAACAUCCCUAACUACAGUGAAAUGCACAGAUAAUUACUUUCACAGUUUAGGGUGAGAAAUAAAAGAAAGGAAAAACUUCCUUCCGGCUAAAAUUGGUAAGGGGCAUAGUCAGAUAAACAAAAUAAAAACUUAACAGCACUCUUGGCCAGGACACCAGGCCUAUUGAUUAUGCAGCUGUGAACAUGCAAAGCCAGAGCUUCAGAAAGAGAUUUUUAAAACCACAGACCAAAGGUAACAGGCUCCAAAGUGCUAGCCCCUACACGCUCUAUACAGGACAGUUAUUUAGGGCAAACCCAGGUGCAUAACUGUGAAGGACGCAUACCUUGAACUUUCUUCCAGUACUGUUCUCAUAUCCCCCUCUGUUUUUGCCCUCAGAGAGAUUUAUAUUCCUUCAGCUUAAGUGGCACUUGAGUGUAGAGUGGAGGAGCUGGUAGCUGAUAUGGCCAUGAACAAGACAGGUGGUGACUUUAGAAGGAGGCUCGCUCUCCACUGUCCAUGGGCUUGGGGCAGGAGAAUUAGGCUAAUCUUGUACAACCUCUACUCCUUUCAUUUCUUACACAGAUUCAUUCACCUUUUAUCUUGCAUGAAAUGCAGGGGAUGCUCUUGGAAUACCAGGGCAGCCAUUGAACAGUAUCAAAGAACCAAGAGGCAUACCCUGCAAUACCAACCAGCUUUGACAAUGGGGAGAAGGGACUACUCCACAUCUAUAAAUAUUUAGGAUUAUUCAUCAAUUCUUUUCAUUUUGCAGGUCCUUUUCUUCUGCGUUCUCAUAGCUUAAUGCCUCCACUGGACUGCUUCCGAAGGAGCAGUCUUUCUGCAGGUGCAGUGUUGUAACAGCUGUGAAACAUUAGUCACCGUUUUAUCAGUGUUAAAACGUUCAAGACAAUGCUUCUAAGAGCACUAUCACUCAACAUACUAUCUAGUAAUUCUAUUGCAACAAGUCAGAAGAUUGAAUAAAACCUUCCAUUCAUGUUGCUCAUCUUGUUCUGUACCCGUGACUGGAGAUCAGCAAGUCUGAGUAAACCCCUUCCAGCUGUAAGCUCUGUGUGUUUAUACUGCAACAGUUCAGUAAAUCCAUUCAGCUUCCAGUAAGAAAUGUCUUUGUUUAUGGCUCUUUUACGAUACUCCCAAUCACCGUCAAAGGAUUCUACAGAAAUAUUUUUAAAAGAUUCAGUUCUGACUUAAUCAAUGCCAUUGUAGAUCAGGAAUAACUCCAUUAAGCUGAUAUGAUGUAAAAUCUAGUUUAUAUUUGCAUGCAGCAGUGAUGUGAGCCUUCUGAAAACUUAGGAGUUCAGAUACACUUAUGGCAAGUCCUGUGUAUGAUAAUUUACUUAAUGAACAUACUGAUGCCCAUGUUAUCUCAACUAAAUUGAGUAGUUGAGACUAAACUCUGAACCCCCUGAAAUCUUGACAAGUAUUGCCAUAGAUAUAGCUGACUCAGGAUUUCACAGAAUACAUAUUUAUUAGGGACUGCUGUUAAGAGAAUUCUCCCGUGUUUUAAAUCACUCUGCAGUGGUGAAUAAUUAAUACUCAGAAAAAGUUCAAUAUUUCUUUCUGCAAGUAGGCCAAGCCACCAGCCUACUGGAUUUGAAGAUGCAGCUCAAAUAUGCAUAAUCUCCUAUUUCAACAGUAUCGCCUGCACUUGCAGCAGAGCACUGCACACUCACUCUCUCUUCCUUGCCUCCGUAGUUUCUUUACUGUGGAAAAGAGUUUACACCUAACAAUGACAUUAAAACAGGAGUUAGUUACUGUACGUGUUUGCACGCCAGAAGCAGCUGCUGUCAGUAUGAAAGGGGAAAGGAAGUGAGGAGAUCCUGCACUGCUCUGGAAAAUACAGGUGCUGAGAGGAAACUUUUAUCCAGAAGAGUUUGUCAAAGAUAAGGGCAUAGGAAAGGAGAAAAGCGAUGAAGAACACUUCAGAGAUAAAAACAUUAGCUCCAGCCCAAUCUCCAGUAAAUAAAUUUACAUCUCUAACUGCUGCUUAUGACUAUCCAGAGAGAGGUACCACGUGAAUGGGAGGAGAGCAGAGCUAACCUCACCUCUGUGACUGUGAGCAGAGGUCCAGGAACAAGUCUGGUUUCCUAGACAGAAAGGCCCUUUGCAACGUGGUGAACUGCCCUCACAAUGCUACUAACAGUGGCAUUUACUCUUCAUGUGGAUCUCAACUCUACCAGCAGCCUAUAACACCACAGCAAGUGACCUCCAAGGGGUCUACUGAGCCUCAUUGAGCAAUGAAAACAUGAUGACCUUGAUCAAAUAUCUCAGCUGUGGUGAACAUCAAAUAACAGAAAUUGCAAAGGUUGACAAUUAUUUGAGGGACAAAAAGUCUGGAGAUUUUGUAUCAGUAGAAUUCUAACGGCUUCAACAGAAUGCUCUUGAUUUAAGUUGGAAUAAUUGAAAAAUUAAUCACAUCUACAUAUCACCAGAAGAAAGGAGAAAUAAACCAUCUUGGAAUUUGUAGUUCACUAUAAUCUGAAGUAGAGAAGUCCUUGGAGAAAUCCAGUCUAAAACAAUGCCAAACCUCAGCACCGUAUUAGGAAACAAAUAUCUUUACGCUACAGACCAGUUGUUAUUCCAGAGUUGCUUCCUGGCUGAAGCACAACAUGCUUUGUUACUCCAUGCUCACCUGUGUGUAUACAACAGGUUUGGCUACAGAUGAAUGCAUAUAAAGAGUUGGAAGAGAUCACGUUCAGUGCUUUGUCCUUCGUUCUGGUGAGGUGCACUUCUGUUUCCCUACUGAGAGCUCCUAGGCACAUGGAAGCUGUAAGGCCAACCACCUAACCAUAGGAGGGAUGGGAUCGCUGGCAAACAACACAUCCUGCUUCACCUCAAGCACCCUCCACUCUCCAGAAGGUACUUUCCUGCACAUGGCUGAGGAGCUGCUGGAAGACUGAAGGGGCACUCUCUUCAGCUGUGGGGCUGCCCCACCCCCAGUGCUGCUCUUCUGGCACCCAGCUCCUCCCAUGCUCCUUGUGCAGCUGGUGGCCCAGGAAGGAGCCAGCAUUGCCUCAAAUGGAACAGAGAGCAUCAGGCUGUUUUCUCUUUAAAAGAAGAACAAAAAAAAAAAACAAAAAAAAAACCAAAAACUAGGCUUUCCCCUUUGUUUCUGCCUUCCUGACUCCCUGGUUCAUGUCCUUCAUUAAGGCGUCUUUCUCAGUCAAGUUCUGCAAGGGCCUUCUAGCAAAAAAGAAAUUGUCAAAUCUGGAAGAAGACCAGAGGGUAAAAUUAUGGAUUUAAACCUCCAUUUCUGUCUUUACUAACACGCCAGGUACAGAUCUUCACACUCCUGUGGUCCAUGCUCCAUACAGAUUCAGUUGCUCUGUGUUACAUGACGGUAUAAAUUCACCAUGUCUCACUGGAGCCCAGGGCCUGUUUUUCCUGCACUGCAACAGUGUGAUUUCAUUGAUGUUAGUGCUGCUGC
ensembl:lncRNA